rnacentral:lncRNA from 1 species
AUGUGCUCGUAUGUGAUUAAUUGCCUCUAUGUGUAUUUUUGGUGGGGAUCAUUAGAAUUCGGUGUUAGAAGAGUAUUUUGGUCAUUGUGUGAGCAAGAGUAAAUUAAUAAUUUCACUGUGAGAAUUAUUUUUAGUGUUUCAAGUGAGAACCAUUAAUUUUACUAAGUUACUUGUGGGUUGUGGUAAUUAGUUUAGAGUCGGUGACUAUUAAGGCGUUGUGAAUUGGUUAAUGAGUAAUUUAAGCCCAUUAAGACAUUAAGGGUUAAGCCCAAUAGUGAGGAGCCUAUUUAAACUCUAGUUUUGAGGAAAUUAGGUCACAUAGAAUCAUUUGUUCAUUUUCACAAAACUUUUGAGAGAGGUAGAGAGAAAGAGAAAGAACAACGGUAAGAGAGAGGAAGCUUGAGAGAAGAAGAAAAAGGUUUGAGAUUCAAGGGGUUGGAGCUGAAUUGAAGUUAAGGCUAGGAUUUGCUUGUUGUGAGACGGUGUGCAGGAGUAGUUGUUGAUUGCUUGGGGAGUGCUCAGAUAGCGGGAGCUAUCUCCGUUAUCGAUCUUUUGAGUCUUAAAGUAGGCUCUGAUCUAGGAUGUCUGUCUUUAUGAUUAUUCUAGAUUGAUUAUGCUGGAUUUAUGUUAUAGAGAUUUUGCCGAUAUGUCGGGAUUUGGAGAUUUUUAUGUAUCGCCAUAUUUGGAGUAAUAACAUGUAUACUUGGAGAUGUAUGAUUUAUAUCCGCUGCGCAGUUGUUUGAAUUUUAUGCAUGUUAUAUUCUGGUGAACUUUUGGAGAUGU